rnacentral:rRNA from 1 species
AUACGUAGGUGACAAGCGUUAUCCGGAUUUAUUGGGUUUAAAGGGAGCGCAGGCGGAGAUGCAAGCGUGACGUCAAAUUUCGGGGCUCAACCCCGUCUCGCGUCGCGAACUGCGUCCCUUGGUUGCGGGAAGGGGAGGCGGAACUCGUGGUGGAGGGGUGAAAAGCAUAGAUAUCACGAAGAACUCCGAUCGCGAAGGCAGCCUUCCGGCCCGUCAACGACGCUCAUGCUCGAAGGUGCGGGUAUCAAACAGGAUUAGAUACCGUGGUAGUCCACGCCGUAAACGAUGAAUACUAGGUGUCGGGGGUCAAACGACCUUCGGUGCCGUCGCAAACGCAAUAAGUAUUCCACCUGGGGAGUACGUUCGCAAGAAUGAAACUCAAAGGAAUUGACGGGG